rnacentral:rRNA from 1 species
AUUGAACGCUGGCGGCAGGCCUAACACAUGCAAGUCGAGCGAGCGGCGGACGGGUGAGUAAUGUCUGUGAAACUGCCUGCUGGAGGGGGAUAACUACUGGAAACGGUAGCUAAUACCGCAUACCAUCAGAUGUGCCCCGAUGGGAGUAGCUAGUAGGGGGGGUAACGGCUAACCUAGGCGACGAUCCCUAGCUGGUCUUAGAGGAUGACCAGCCACAAUGGAACUGAGAAAUGGUCAAGAUUCCGACGGGAGGCAGCAGUGGGGAAUAUUGAAAAAUGGGCGCAAGCCGGAUGCAGCCAUGCCGCGGGUGUGAAGAAGGCCUUCGGGUUGUAAAGCACUUUCAGCGGGGAGGCGUUACCCGCAGAAGAAGCACCGGCUAACGCCGUGCCAGCAGCCGCGGUAAUUC